ACCAGUGUGGCGUACUGGUUUGAGUGUUGGACUGCGACUCUGGGGACCAGGGUUCGAUUCCCAGCUCAGCCA